AGUGAACGCUGGCGGUAGGCCUAACACAUGCAAGUCGAACGGCAGCACAGUAAGAGCUUGCUCUUACGGGUGGCGAGUGGCGGACGGGUGAGGAAUACAUCGGAAUCUACUUUUUCGUGGGGGAUAACGUAGGGAAACUUACGCUAAUACCGCAUACGACCUACGGGUGAAAGCAGGGGAUCUUCGGACCUUGCGCGAUUGAAUGGGCCGAUGUCGGAUUAGCUAGUUGGCGGGGUAAAGGCCCACCAAGGCGACGAUCCGUAGCUGGUCUGAGAGGAUGAUCAGCCACACUGGAACUGAGACACGGCCCAGACUCCUACGGGAGGCAGCAGUGGGGAAUAUUGGACAAUGGGCGCAAGCCUGAUCCAGCCAUACCGCGUGGGUGAAGAAGGCCUUCGGGUUGUAAAGCCCUUUUGUUGGGAAAGAAAAGCAGCAGGUUAAUACCCCGCUGUUCUGACGGUACCCAAAGAAUAAGCACCGGCUAACUUCGUG
rnacentral:rRNA from 1 species